CUGAGCACCACCAGGGCAGCCACCAGCUGCAGGACCACAGCUGAUAACCUCUCAACUUUGGCCCAGCCACCCCGACUGGGGGAGGGCGGUAGGAGCGGAAAGCGAGUGCCCAGGCGAACCCGCACUAAGCACAGGAGAGGAGGAGCGAAGAGGCGGAGUCCUCACUGUUGUUGGGGUUUUCUGACCCUGGGGCCUCUUGGUUCCUUCCGGGCUCACCGUGUGGGGCCGAAGAUCAACGGCCCGGGAACGGUUCCCGGGAGCGGG
rnacentral:lncRNA from 1 species